UUUGGGAGGCAUUUCGUUAUGGCGUGAGCGAACCGAACAAUCAGUAGAAUUUUGUUUUAGUGAAGAUUUUCUCUGACCAUGUGUUGCACCUGUUUAUAUUAUGAAUUUCAAUAUAAGUAUUCGAAAGAAAUUCGAUUUAUCAUCUGUCGGUUGUUGAGAUUAAUUAAUGCGUAUGUGACAUAACCUGAAAGCAUGGAGUUGAAACAAUGGGGAACAACGGGUCAAUAAGAACAGAACUUAGCAACGGCGGUUGCAAUUGACGUGCCGACGAUUAAUUCAUUAUUCUAUUCGAAAUUUUUCGUCCACAAAACAAUGGAAUUGUUAAGCAAGUUCAUGUGUUCAAAAGAAAUUACGGUUGCUGAAUGAAUUUUGUUUAAACAACAACAUGUUUACAGUAGCAUAAUAAUAAAGACAGAAAAAGGAACACAUAUAUGCAGCAUUUUUAUUUUUUAACAAAAGCACCUGCUUAUAAAUAAAUGUAUAUCACUCGAAUCAACAAAAAAAAUAUUCAAUAAAUAUUUGUCGUGCUAGUUCAUUACCAACAGACAAAUCAAUCACAUGAAAAACAUUUAAAAAAUCACGAUGUGCGUGUGACUCGAAGCGUCACAUGUAGUACAUAUAGCACCCACUUCUCAUUGUU